rnacentral:rRNA from 1 species
GUGCCAGCAGCCGCGGUAAUACGUAGGAGGCAAGCGUUAUCCGGAUUUAUUGGGCGUAAAGAGCACGCAGGUGGCUCUUCAAGUCAGAUGUAAAAUCUCCCGGCUUAACUGGGAGGGAUCAUCUGAUACUGUCGAGCUAGAGGGCAGCAGAGGGAGGUGGAAUUCCCGGUGUAGUGGUGAAAUGCGUAGAUAUCGGGAGGAACACCAGUGGCGAAAGCGGCCUUCUGGGCUGUUCCUGACACUGAGGUGCGAAAGCGUGGGGAGCGAACAGGAUUAGAUACCCUGGUAGUCCACGCCGUAAACUAUGAAUACUAGGUAUGGGGAGUAUCGACCCUUCCCGUGCCGAAGCCAACGCUUUAAGUAUUCCGCCUGGGAAGUACGGCCGCAAGGCUAAA